rnacentral:tRNA from 1 species
UAACUCUUUUUUAAGGUUUGAGAAAUCUUUUGAUUCAUUAAAUUAAUUUGAGUUAA